rnacentral:lncRNA from 1 species
GAAUUCGAUGUUUUAGACCAACCAAGGUAUCUCUAGGAUGAAAGGUUUCUUCUUUUUUUUUUUUUUGAUGAAAGGUUUCUUCUCUGUAACAUCUUCUUAGAAUUCUUCUUAGAUGAUUGGCUGUAGUAACUCAUUGAUUGAAUCUCCAAACUUAGUAUGGUUUCUUUGUUCUCCGUCGGGCCUUUCUUGAUUAGAUUCAGAACCUUUUUGUUCUUGUCUAAAAACAUCAAGC